rnacentral:rRNA from 1 species
GAUGAACGCUGGCGGCGUGCCUAAUACAUGCAAGUCGAGCGAACAGAUAAGGAGCUUGCUCCUUUGACGUUAGCGGCGGACGGGUGAGUAACACGUGGGUAACCUACCUAUAAGACUGGGAUAACUUCGGGAAACCGGAGCUAAUACCGGAUAACAUUUGGAACCGCAUGGUUCUAAAGUGAAAGAUGGUUUUGCUAUCACUUAUAGAUGGACCCGCGCCGUAUUAGCUAGUUGGUAAGGUAACGGCUUACCAAGGCAACGAUACGUAGCCGACCUGAGAGGGUGAUCGGCCACACUGGAACUGAGACACGGUCCAGACUCCUACGGGAGGCAGCAGUAGGGAAUCUUCCGCAAUGGGCGAGAGCCUGACGGAGCAACGCCGCGUGAGUGAUGAAGGGUUUCGGCUCGUAAAACUCUGUUAUUAGGGAAGAACAAACGUGUAAGUAACUGUGCACGUCUUGACGGUACCUAAUCAGAAAGCCACGGCUAACUACGU